rnacentral:lncRNA from 1 species
UGGAAAGAGAAUGUAGAGAAUGUGAAGCCCUCACCCUUACGUGUGUUGCUCAGCCUAAUCUCCCAUGUUUUCCUCCUUGCAGUUUUCUUCCUCUGGGGCGAGGAGAAAAAAAAGAGAGCAGGAUUCCUCAUUCAUCCAGUUUGCGGGGAGUGAGUGGGAGGAAGUCUAAUGAUGGAGGCACAGAACAAACCCACACUCACAGCUGCUUUUAGCCUCCCCGUAUCUAUACCCACAACACCUCCUUACAGGGCCUAGUGGUCAGUAUUCUCAGUGCCUUUCCAGAAACCACACCUGGCCCCAGAGGUAUGGCAUGGUGCCAUCUAACAGCCUAGGUAAGGUCCCCUGAGCACUGCCAAGCAAGAGGCAGUCUGUACAGCCCUAGGGUGUACGGGAUUCCUAAGUGCAGGAGAUGGUGCAGCUAGGAGUGCAGAUGAAAGCCCUCAGCUGCCUGAAGCUCACAUGCAGUGGAGGAGGGAAUUGGCUGUCCAGGUGAUGGAAGUGUGUCAUCAGCUUCAGGCCCACGGGCACCCAGCUACCUGCAAGCCACCUUCGCACCAAGCUGCGGGCUCUGAAAUGCACUCAGCGGAAGAUGACCCUGAGUCCUGUGCAGCAAGACAGCAGUUAACUUUAUCCCCAGAACUUCCUGCAUGAAACUAGCUAAGAUAAAGAGCCAACUCGAGUCCUCAGAACACACUGUGAGGGCACCAGGCUGUGUAGACCACCCACUCGGUGCCAACUUCACCCCCACUUCCGUUGAGGCAGGCAUGUUUAUUGGAAAUGUAACACGUUUUU